rnacentral:lncRNA from 1 species
UUAACAAUUUCUAGAGCAUAAGUACUUUCACCCUGGCCAAUUCCAAGCAACCAAUAUGAUGUCACAGGUUGGGCAGUUGGGAGGAGAUGUACACACUGGUUCUUGUGGGCCAGUACCACUUGGCUCCAGCACUCCACUGCUACCUUUGAGCUCUUAAAGCAGAAGCAGCCAGAGAAGCAGGUUAGCAGUUCUGGAACACAAGGGACUAGCUGAGUCUCGGCCCUCAUCCACAUGGCCAGCAAAGGUGAAGAUGGGCUCACCCCAGAGAAGGGCUACCAGGGCCUGGGGUUUCCCUGCAGCAGCCUCCUGGUGCUAAACUGCCACCUGGAUCUUCCACACCACAAGAUUAUCUUUUGAAAGUGAGGUCAAGAAAGGGGGCAUGGAGAAAAAGACAAAAGUUACUUAAAAAUGAGGUGACUCAACUCUUUAUCUGGCGUAUCCACGUUGUAUAUGCUACCCUCCCAUUCACCAUGGAUAGAUAUCACCUGCUCCUAACAACAUGGCUCAAUGAUCCAGGAUCAUCAAAGCAAAAUAUUCUCCUGAGGUAUUGACAGAAGGUCAGCAGUAGCCUAACACCAGUGGGCAGCUGCACUGCAAACCCCACAGCUAAACAGCAUUAUUUAAUGAAAGAAUGGAGGCUGGUGGAAGAGGACACUCUUGUGAGGCCUACAUUGCUGAGACUAGAUAGAUCCUAAGCAGAGGCAAGAAGGAUAUACAGUCAUAGCAGGAUUCAAUUUGGCGGCAACAGUGCGUAAGUCUGAGGAUUGAGAUUGUCUGUACUGGUCUUUAGCCAUUUGAUUAACGAUACUUUAAUGUCUCUAUUAAGACCCAAAAGAGUUAUGUCAACCAUUUUUCCCUGUUUAUUUCCUUCUAUAUAUUUUUAAUAAUAAUACGGUUUGUUUGGAUUUAUUAUUAAUAUCUGGUAACAUUAUUUAACCAUCUUGUAAUAUUGCAUUUGAUUGAUUUUUCUUUCUUUAUGCAUUCUCUAACAUUCCCACUGAUCUAUUCAAUUGCUCUGGUCUUAAUUUUAUAAAUAAGCAAUAACUAUGAAACUCUGUGUUGGCAAUUUGAAAAUAAUAUUUAGCAGCAUAUUUUCCAAGUACAUACACAACACACAAAUUC